GACGAACGCUGGCGGCGUGCCUAAUACAUGCAAGUUGAGCGCUGAAGGUUGGUACUUGUACCCACUGGAUGAGCAGCGAACGGGUGAGUAACGCGUGGGGAAUCUGCCUUUGAGCGGGGGACAACAUUUGGAAACGAAUGCUAAUACCGCAUAAAAACUUUAAACACAAGUUUUAAGUUUGAAAGAUGCAAUUGCAUCACUCAAAGAUGAUCCCGCGUUGUAUUAGCUAGUUGGUGAGGUAAAGGCUCACCAAGGCGAUGAUACAUAGCCGACCUGAGAGGGUGAUCGGCCACAUUGGGACUGAGACACGGCCCAAACUCCUACGGGAGGCAGCAGUAGGGAAUCUUCGGCAAUGGACGAAAGUCUGACCGAGCAACGCCGCGUGAGUGAAGAAGGUUGUCGGAUCGUAAAACUCUGUUGGUAGAGAAGAACGUUGGUGAGAGUGGAAAGCUCAUCAAGUGACGGUAACUACCCAGAAAGGGACGGCUAACUACGUG
rnacentral:rRNA from 1 species